rnacentral:tRNA from 1 species
GUCCCAGUAGCUCAGUUGGUACGAGCAUUCGGCUGUUAACCGAGGGGUCGCUGGUUCGAGUCCAGCCUGGGACG